AACGAGACACGAACCUACAAAGUAAAACAGGAAACUCACAGACUGUUUUACACAACCAACUGGGGACACGAACAGAACACAGAGGAGAGACACAGAUCAGAAAACCAGCAACAGCAGCAACCAGAAGUACAGCAGAAACUGACAGACCAACUUUCAGUCCAAGAGAUCCAUCCUCCUUCCCUCUGUCUUCCUUCCCUCCAUCCACUCUGAGUCCACCUGUCUGACCUGCAGGUGAGAAACAGGUGUGAGGUGUCAGCUGUCAGAUCCACACGGUUCUUAAAAGAUGGAUGCUGGUUGUCUUGAACAAACAAACUAUCCUGGAACAAAAGGACAAAUUGUGGCUCCAGGUCAGCUCUGCUCCACUUCACAGCAGUGAUCAAGAUGCUGUUUGGAGCUCGACAUGUCAGAGUGACGUCCUGUCCAGACUUAACCACUGUGGUUUUUUGGUCUAAAAGAUGAAACAACGGAGCAGAGAGGUUAAAGGUCGGAGACUAUAGAUAACACAUCUGUAGAAGAUGGAGAAAGUAAGGAACUACGGA